UGUGUUUAUCAAACUGGAGAAACCUAACGGGCAGCUAUGACCUCUAGGGAAUCUUUGUAAAGGCUUCGUAGUGAAUCCCUGGCCAUUCACCUUGGGAGUGAAUAAGGGUCUUGCAAGCCCGGGCUAGAGAGGGAAUCACGGCUCAUGGGUAAAGUGUGCGACCUCUACAGAGGGUAGUGAAACUGAUAUAUCAGCCGUGCUCACGGUUAAGAGCAGCCUUGGGAUCCUCUUUGAUUAGAGAUACUCCGGAUACACCUUGGAUGAUGACUUUAAUGAUGAUGGUUAAUGAUGGUGACUUUAAUUAUGAAUUCUAGUAUUCCCUCUCUCAGGAGGUACUUUUGGGAUUAUAACUUGGGUUUUAUGAUAAAAUCUGGCUUCUACUAACAAUAAAUACCUGACCAACUAAAAGCAACUGCUUGAGCCUAACCCCACAUAAAGCUAGUCCACUACAACCAAACGGGACAUUUGCUGAGUACGUUGAUGUGUACUCACCCUUGCUUUCACAAAACACCAGGUUGCCUUUGGUGCAAUCUAUGCUCAGGUAAAGAAGGAGGUGUCGAGGCGGAUCUCCAGGAGUUCCAGGAUUUCGACGAGUUCGAGGAUUAGGCUAGCGACCUCCCCCAGUCAGCUGCCUGUGGUGGGUUGUUUACGUUGGCUACAUUUCUACUAUGUGUACUUUGAUUUAUAUUAUGUAAAUGGCUCUGGUCUGUAAUAUUAUUACUAACUCUUUAUUGUUAUUCGAAGCAUCGUGCUAUGAUGAGUCAUUUAUGUAAUCGCUAUGUACGUGAAUUUCUGAUCCUGGCACGUACAUGGUUCGCAUUCGGUUUACCUUCAAAACCGGGUGUGACAUAAGUGGUAUCAAAGCCGUGCUGACUGUAGGACCGCUAGCCUAGAGUAGCAUUGGCCGUUUUAAGGACUUAUUGACUAUUACUUCACCCCAUCCUUGAUUCUGCUUUAAAAUACUAGUCACCUCACCUAAUUCUAUGUUGUGCUCCUAUAUGCCUCCUUGCCAAAAGUAUUUUAUUCUAGUAUGAUUUAUGCUUCUCUCAAUCUAUUAGAUCUGAUCUCACUCUUGUGCUUGCGACAUCUUUGUAGAUGCCCCCUAACCAUAACCUUCUUGUCUCUUGGUCUUUUUUUCUCUUUCGUCAUUAAAUUUCUACCAUUUGGCAAUCUCUAUUCCCCUGGUAUUGACAUGCUCGUAUCCCUGGAUUCUUUAAUACCCUUGUUUCAAUACCUACCUCUAAUAAAAACUCUGCUGCCUAUUUAAACAUUUCAGUUUAUAUGUCCAUGAUCUUACUGUCUUUUGAGACUCUUUCCUAUUCUAUUGUUAAGUCAUUAUCUUUUUGGCUAUUUGUAUUCUCUUGGUCAUAGUAUGUUCGUACCAUUGGAAUCUUGCAUACUCUCAUUUUUAUAUAUGCUUACCUUUAUAUCUCAAUAUUUGUUUAAGACAUUUCAGUUAACGUCCCCUUGACCACUCUUGUUUCUUAAUGAUCCAUGAGCGGUCAUUUUUUUUGCACACCCGUGGUUGUCUCGUUAAUUCCUUGUAAAUUCCUUCGAUAAUGAAUUUUUACUUCAAAUCUUAUGUCAGAACCUCACUUAUCCUUGAUUGUUUUCCCCACUUCGUUACUUUGCAAGUCUUGCCUUAACUCUGUCCAUGAAUUAUGCUUUUCAUCAUUCUCAUCUUUUCCCUUAUCGCCUUUAUAUCUUACCUUGAUGUUUAUCACCUUUUCCUCUUCCUCGUUGCUUGCGAGUUCUCAACUCCAUACUUCGUUGCGCUUUCGUUUGUUGUCGCCUUUACCUUUCCCAUUUCUCAACCACACCUUAUCGAUUACAUUAUAUCUGUUAUCUAAAAUCUCCAAUCUUCUAUCCCAACUUGUGAGCGGUACUUUACUUACCUCACCCUUGGCUAUAUCCUCUUCUUUACCGCGUAUAAGCUCGGACGCAACUCUAUUAUUUGUUGUACUCAUACCACUGGCUCUCCCAUGCCUUCAUCUUUUCUCUCAUACCCUUGUCUGUUAUCACCUUUGACCCUUGCGAUAUUGAGGUAUUCUACCUAAAUGCUUACCUUGAACUUAUCCUUUAAAAGCCUCCCCUUUCUUUCAACCUAGUUUGAGAGCUAUGAGUUACUUAUCUCUCCCAUGAUUUCUUUUCACUCCUUGUCGCCUUACAAGUUUUGUCUUAAUUCCAUCCUUUGCUGUGUUUUUUAUUUGCUAUCACCAUUACCUUUUCAUCCAUCAAUCUUGCGUCGAUACUCAUCUUUAUUAUGACUAUUAAAAAUCUCCUCUCUUCCACCUCAAUUUGAGAGUGGCAAUUUACCUAUUUGGCCCUUGGACGUAUCCUCUUCUUUUCCACUUGUAGGUAUUGUCUUAACUCCAUCCUUUAUGUUACUUAUAUCUUUUGUUCUUAUGUCCAUUUACCUCCUCUCUUACAUUAUUGUCUGUUAUCACCUUUAACCCUUGUAAUAUCUAUACCCUUACAUUCAUGCUUACUUUGAACCUACCCUUCAAAACCUCCUCCUUUCGAUCUCUGCUCAAGGAUAAUGCCUCAUCUACUUCACCAUUAAUUGCUUCCCCUCCUUUGACGCCUUGCACGUUUUGUCUAAAAUACAUCCUUUUUUGUUUAUUUGCCCGUUAUCACCCUCACCCUUGUCAUCCCUUGAUCUUUACCUUGAUGCUUAUCCCGUACCUGUAUUUUAAAGCCUCCUCCCUCAUUUUAGUUCAAGAGUGUUGUCUUACCCAUCCCACUCUUGGUCGUUCCCUUUUCCUCUGCCACAUUGCCAGUCGUAGCUUUUGUUUGAUAGUCCCCUUACCUUUGUAAUCACUAGAUCUUGCCUUGAUGCUUAUCUUAGGUCUGCCUUUUGAAAUCCACUCUUUUAUAUCUUGACUCGAGAGUGGUGUUCUACCCAUUAUGCCCUUGGUCGUAUCAUUUUCUUGGCCGCUUAACUCCAUCCUUUGUUGUGCUCGUGCCCCUAUCAUGCACGUCUUGUUUCUCUCCUCGUCCUUCGACAGCCUUAGAGAGUAGGUAUUCCCUUUUCAAGAAAGACCACCAUCUAGUUAACAUUAACGUGUAGCAACGAGAUGUUUGUUGUUGUAUGCUUGUGCUGUUUGUCUUUGUGUGAUGACUGAUUUGCUUCUCUGUGAUGAGUGUUGAUGUGUUGUGGUCCUUGGUCCGCAAUGACAUCAGUUUACUAGCUGAGUGCCAUAGAGUUAGGUAUCUGGGUGCUCUCCCUUUUCUCUUUUUAAUUCAUCUAUGUGUACCUUUCCUAUCUAUACCCUUCCCUCUUGCACCUGUCCGGUUGGCAACCUCCAACCAACCUCUCUUAAUCGGUCAAGAUCAAAAUCGAUAACAUCUUCACCAAGUGCAUAUCAACGCUCCUGUUAAGGGGGUUAACCGCUAACCCCAAUGAAGACAAUGCGAAUAGCAUCAACCAACACGAUUAAAGUGGCGCACCGAAAGCGUGUGUGGGUCCUAACCCAUAGGUCCAAGAGAUCCUCAAGAGUUGCAUCAGUUGAUCGUGAACAUCUGAAGGUCAAAGUAUCAUGUCUGCAAGUUAAGCUGGUAGUGUUAAAAUUGAAUCGAAGUGAACCAACCUUGUUUUUCUUUCUAGCUUCUUCUUGAAUCUCGAGGGCGAGAUUCUGUUAAGGGGGUUAGAUUUGUAACACCCUGAUUUUGAGGGUAUAAAAUUUUCUUUUAUCUACUCUCAAAAUUCAGGUGUUACCUUUUCUUUUCCUUUCUUUUCCUCUUUUGUUUGUUAUUAAAUGGGGAGUUAACAUGGAAUUUAUAGAUGCUAUUUUAAAUAAAUAUGUGUAUUAUAUUUUAAGCCGAGGUACAUUUUCUUUCUGUUUGCUAAAAUGAUCUUGGCGGUGUUCACACUCGAAAGAAGGAAAAACUAUCAAAUUAAAUUAUCGGGACAUGAUCUAAUAUAAAUAGAUAUAUUCAUAUAAACAUAUAUGUAUAUUCAUAUCUACCUGCUAGCACGCUUGGGGGAAGCACCAGCGCCGCACUCGGCUGCUGCGCCGCAGGCCCACCACCAUCUCUUCCGUGUGUGAACAACCUCUACCGCACUAUAUGGCCACGACGCUAGAAUCUAGCAAUGGUCCGUUAUAGCCGCUCCCAUAGUCCCAUUCAAACAGUCGGUACCUGCUCUCUGUCCCUCAACCUUGCAGCAACCACCCCUUGCAUCACGCAGUCGCCCCGGCGCCGCGCCCGCCGUCGAGCAGAGGUCCCAUGCAGAGCUCGUCGUCGCAUCAUUUGUCACCAUGGAGAAAGGACCGAUGUCCUAGCUAGAGGUCUCGCCGCACUCGUCGCUGUGUCGAGGGGGCCCUGCCACGCACGAAGUUGUUUCUUCCGGCGAGCCCUUCCCGUUCCCCGGUGAGCCAUUUUUCUUUAUUUUGUUUCUGCGCUAGCUGUUAUCAUUUCUAUCCUUCGCCGGCCAACUGCACCUCCGCUGCCGACAUCGAACCGUGAAACGCCCAGCCCUUGGAUGCAUGGCCGACCAGCCAUGGCUGGUCGCGGCCAAAGGCCGAUUGAGCGGUGGCCGAGUGCUCGCCCACCCCUGCCCGCUGUCAAGCCGGUCUCCGGUGAAGCCGCCAUGCGGGUCAGCGUGCCCCUGCAUGAGCUCGUGUGGCAGAAAUGGACGGCUCUGGCGCUCUGCCCUGCUUGUGUGCCUGGCUUGCUACGUGAGCGUGAGGAAGAAGAAACCGCCGUUGCGAGUGUGUUUAGGAAAAAAAAAGAAAUUGUUUCCCCAUGGAACCCACCCAUGCACGCAUGACUCCCAUGCAUGUCGGCAUGCAUCACGUGAGUGGUGGAAAAAACUAGUCUCCAGGCCACAUGGCGCCCUACGGUUGGUCAAUAUAGAUGUUUCACGUUGUAGCGUCCGCUCCAAAUCCCACGGAUCCUCGGCACCCAUGCUCAUAUGGUCCUCUGUGUGGCCAUAUUUUGACCAAUUAGAUUACGCCACAUUCUAUUAAAUCUGCGAGAUAUAAGAUAUUCAAAAUAUUUUAAGUCUCAAAUCUGUUUCGACUUGUUUCGUAACCUCGUUGUUUACGUAUUAGUAACACUAUUUCAUUGUGAUACAUGUUUUAGUUAAUUAAUUGAUUAUUUAUUUUUCAGAUAGUUAGUAAAGUAGCAAUCUACUUGAACCAAUUUACAAUUUUAGUUGCACUUUAUAAAUACAUGUUAAUAUGAUUAUGUCUACUCGAAUGUUUUUAAUUAAUAAUUGUUUAUUAUAAUGGCGAUAUUGGUUAGUGUUCCUGGCGUGCCGUUCGCGUGCUGUCCGCGUGCGCCGUCGUUCGCACGCGUUGUCGCGUGCGUGGUUUCACGUGUUGGUCGCGCCCUAUUUCGCGUAUUGUCACACGUCUUCACGCGUCAUUCGCACGCAUUGCCUUUUUUGCGUAUCGGGUGCUGUCCACGCGCGAUAUUAAAUCGGUCGCUUAUAAUCACUCAUGUCAUUUAAUUAAAUAUUUGUUUAAUCCUCCACUAUUAAAAUAGUAAGUUAGUCAAAACUAAAUAGUAGAUAUAAUUUAUAUUUGAUAGUGCCGAAUUAAAUGUCCUAGUUCAUAUUCGUUUAGCAUAAACGCGAUAACUUAUGGACCGUAGCUCCGACCGACGUGUUUCAUAUUCUCGCGUAACCGUAGAAGCGCUCUCUAUUUUAUAUUGCUCGCUUUUAUAACAUUUUAUCUUGUAUGGUGUAAUGUUCUUAUGCAUAUGUAUAUGUUUGUUUGCUUGUGCCUGUUCGUCUUCGCUUCGUGUUGCGAUUAGAUCGCGAUUCGUUUCUGAGCUUUGAGGAAUCGACGGUCAAGCUUCGGCGACCAAAUGACCCAGCUCUUCGAGUUCUACAAGGCUGAAGAUUCUGAGCAUCUGUUUGGUGAAGGCAAGUGUCCUUUGACCUAUUAUGUCUCAUUUACUUUAUAAUUCAUCAACCCGCAUACCAUGAUCAACCUAAGGAUUGACUAGCUUUGUAUUUACCUUGUCUUUGCUUACCUUUUGGGUUAUUAUGGUUAGCAUUUUGCUAUUGCCUUAACUUAAUCAAUGAACAUGAUGUGACUAUUUAUGAUACGAUACUGUUAUCCUGAUUAUACUGUUGAUCUUGUGAUACUCUAGGGGGCUCAGGCUGUUUCCUGAGUACCUCUCCGUAAGGACCUGUUCGUUGAGAGACCACCCGGGAUAACAGUGCAACCAUGAGGGUGGAAUGGGGUGCCCUUAGCUAAUUAAUUAGAGGAACUAGAAGUGUAGUUGCUUCGCCGUCGUGCCGUCAAUGGGGUCCAGGCACAGUGCUUGCUCUGCCGAGGCUGAGUGCCGAGGUUCUUUCGUUUUGUUUUUAGUCACCCUCCUGCGGGGAGAGGUACUGUGUUUAUCAAACUGGAGAAACCUAACGGGCAGCUAUGACCUCUAGGGAAUCUUUGUAAAGGCUUCGUAGUGAAUCCCUGGCCAUUCACCUUGGGAGUGAAUAAGGGUCUUGCAAGCCCGGGCUAGAGAGGGAAUCACGGCUCAUGGGUAAAGUGUGCGACCUCUGCAGAGGGUAGUGAAACUGAUAUAUCAGCCGUGCUCACGGUUAAGAGCAGCCUUGUGAUCCUCUUUGAUUAGAGAUACUCCGGAUACACCUUGGAUGAUGACUUUAAUGAUGAUGGUUAAUGAUGGUGACUUUAAUUAUGAAUUCUAGUAUUCCCUCUCUCAGGAGGUACUUUUGGGAUUAUAACUUGGGUUUUAUGAUAAAAUCUGGCUUCUACUAACAAUAAAUACCUGACCAACUAAAAGCAACUGCUUGAGCCUAACCCCACAUAAAGCUAGUCCACUACAACCAAACGGGAC
rnacentral:lncRNA from 1 species